UUUUUUACAGUGAGAACACAGAUCAGCCCACUACAAAGGCAUUAGAGCAUUAGAAAAAGUUCCUCAGAAACAUUUUACUUUGGUGUUUUUCACAACUCAAGUAAUCAGCAGACUCGGGAGUUACACAAUGGUACAGAUGUGUAGAUUGUCUCUAACUCAUACAUUGGUCACCAGAAGGCAUAGGAGAUUACACAUGUUGUGUGACAUUUACAGGAGGAAAUCUCACCAAAACUCAAUCCCUAUGGUUACCCAUUGCUGUUUGAGAAGAGAACCAGAGCAGUACACAGACAGCUGACCUUCCACCCAGCAGUUUCACCUACAGGGUAACCCCAUGUUCAACCUGUUGCUGAUGAUAGCAUUUCCCAUUUCAGUCUUCUCUUGUAAUAGAGUUGUGUCUAGAUCAUCUAUCUGCUGAUAUACCAAGGGUUACUACAUGAGUUUCCAGGAAGUUCACACCAUGAAAUCUUGUGGAAAACUGCAGCUAGACCAGUAUUACUGCAGUUCCAGAUUUGGAAGCAUGAUGUAAUAGCAGUAGCAGUACAGGCAAAGAUUCCAAAUGUAAUCCUGUGUGCAAGGUUCUAGGUGGCCCGGUUCCAUAUGGCAGACUGUUCAGUGCAAUGUUCUGUAUGGUAUCAGAUAUGAUUUGUGUGAAGAUGUAUCCCAGCAGCCUGAGAUCCUCUGGUUUUGAUCCAUCUUGGUAGAAAACAUAUGGCUGGAUUUGCUAUCUCCCAUUUCCAUAUGAAGAAGUUAGGGUAUAAGAAGGUCAGAAGCUUUUACAUUAUUGGAAACCAAGGACAAUUUGUUGCCUCAUCAAGUUUAUAGAAGUUUUCGAUUGAAGUUACGGAGAAUUGUAUCUGUUCAGAAGUUACUACAUUGUAUGCAGAGGCUAUGAACACAUCUGUCCUGUCCAGUAUGAAAGCUACGAGUGAAUACACCUGUUCUGCCCAAUAUUAAAGCUACAACUGCGAAUACACCUAUCCUGCCCAGGUUGAAGCAACAGCUGUGAACACAUCUGUCCUGUCAAGUAUGAUAGAUACAACUAUGAACACAUCUGUCCUGUCCAGUAUGAAGCUACAGCUGUGAACACACCCGUUGUGCUCAGGUUGAAGCUACAACUGUGAAUACAACUAUUCUGCCAAGUAUGAAAGCUACAACUGUGAACACACUGUCCUGCCCAGAAUGAAGCUGCAGCUGUUAACACACUACCCUGCCUGACAUGAAACUAUAGCUGUGUACAUUUACUCCUCUAGUCCAGUCCUUUAGGACGGAUGAUUGGGAUAUUUCUUAAAUAAGAUUCUUGGUGCAGGAAGUGUUGAGAUCUACACACAGGCCUGGUGAAACCGACUGAGCAGAUCAGCCAUAACUUCAUGCAGUAAAGGAGCUGCAUGGAAGACAAUUGUGCAGACGUUUAAUUCCAGAGCUGAUGAACCUAGGGAAAUUGGCUCAUUGAAGAAAAAAUGGGACAAUCUGGCUCAGACACACAG
rnacentral:misc_RNA from 1 species